AAAGAGAAAUGAAUUAAUCAAGAAUCUGAAUCACUUUCAACAUCUCUCUCUCCAUCGUUGUCUCAUCUCUCUCUUUUUUUUUGUCUUGUCACUUUUACACACCUACUAAUUAAUAUAUAUACAAUAAUAAAUAUAAACACCACCUCACUUUUAUUAUACAACACUUUUAAUUUUUUCUAAUAAAGACUAAUAAUUUAAAUUAGAGGCGAUAUCCACGCUAUGCACAGAAUAUGCGUAUAAAUAUAUUAACCGCAGGGUCAAAACUCUCCAAAACUAUAGAAAAUGUAGUUGCUAAGUUUAAUAAUUAUUUGAUUUGAUGUUGUAUUUCAAAAUGUUGAGUUUGAAGGAUUGUUGCUUGCGCAAUGUGUGUAGUUCGUUAGGUUUUUUGUAGAAAUGUACAAUUGGGUCGUUGUUAAAAUAAAGUACGACUGGGCCAUAAGUUGAGUAGGCCAGGUUUGUUAAUAGUGUUAAAAAUGUAAAUGAUAAGUUUAAUAAUUAUUUGAUUUGAUGUUGUAUUUGAAAGUGAGAAGUCUGAAGGGUUGUUGCUUUACCAGUGAGAAGACGCUAGUUUAUUUGGUUGUUUUUUCUGUAGAUAUGUAUGAUUGGACCGUUGUUAAAAAGAUGUACAAUUAGCCAUAGCCUAAGCAGGCCAGGUUUGUUAAGUGUUAAGAGCGUGAUGUGGAUAUUUAGUUUUAUGAAAAUAUGUAGGUUUUCAUCUGUGGUGCGUUAUUUAACUAGAAUUGUAAUAUUUAAGCUAUGGUGCGUGUUCUUUAAAAUAUUGUUAAGGUUUUUAAUAGGAUUAGCAAAGAUUGGAAAUUUUAAUGUAUAUUUGUGGGUGAAAAUAAGACGAUUGGUCGGCUGUGUCAAACUGUUAUUAUGGUGUCUGAGUACGCAAGGGAUAUUCUAAAAAAGGUGGGGUAGCUGAAAUAAUGAUUAGAUCAUGUAUGAAAGCAUUAAAAGUUGAUAUCAUGUUAGAAAGCAGAAAUCUUGGAUAAAAUGGUAGAGAAUCAAAACUAUACUAAAAAGAGGAUACUAAGCCCUCUAAAGGUGUACACGUCAGAAUGAAAAAUUAACCAAUCAUAGAUUAUUAUAUGGUCACGUAAGUACAGUUGAGAAAAAAUGGGCUUUUCGCAUUGAAUCUAUUAAAAUGAUUUUCGCGACUUUCUCCCGACUUUUCCACUUCAUCAUUUUCUCCAACUUCUAUUUUUCUCGUUACUUUCUCAAUCAAUGACGAUGUUAAAGGGAUUUUUAAAAAAAUUUCUCUACCUCUCCUUGAUAAUCCUCCUAUAUAAAGUUCUAUCUCUAAACCUAAAUCCAUCCUAAAUAAAAAAAAAACUAUUCGGCAGAAACGACAUCAAUGGCUAUUAAAUCCACCACGAAGUCUCGGAUAACCACCGGAAAAUCUCUCGUCACCAUGUAUUUCAACGACAUCUCACCAGGACGAUCAACUUUUGGGAGACACAAAACAUAGCCAAAGCUGGAGCCUCUCUUGGAUUAGAGCUACGGCCAUGGAAUCCAACGGAAAGCUCCACCGGAAAGUCACAAGCUGUGAAUCCCUUGGAACAGAAUCUACUACGAAAUCAAGGCUACAGAUCCCCAAGAUACCUUUAUUUUGAUCCAAAUCGAUCUGACGACUUCUGUUAGUGAAAUAAUUUCACAUAUACAAAUAUCAUGUGAAAGAUACCUUCUGGAGAAGGAAAUCACAUUGACGGUAUGGUGCCAGUGUUUAUGCAGGAUGAAGAGAAACAUAGAAACAUCAGAAUCUGUGACAUGCUUUUCAUAGCAACGUCUCAUUGCCUUGCUGAUUUCAUCUUCUCUCUUGGCAACCAUUGCCUGCAAUUGAGUGACAGAGAGAGAAUAGACGUUAAGCUGAACUUUACAUCUGAUCUCAGUUAUAGAAGUGUUUGAGGAGAGUGAAGGGCGUAAACAUGGAGAGUGUUCACUGCUUGAUCUUGCCACAGUCUUGGAAAUCAAAAAGAAACUCUGUGAGGCUAACUCUGUGAGCGAGAGACAUAUACCAGAUAGUCUCUUGAAGAGACUUAUCAGUGGUACUAUCGAAUUCCCACCAGCUUGUGCCAUUGUAGGUGGAAUAUUAGCACAGGAAGUGAUCAAAGCUGUAUCAGGGAAAGGAGACCCGGUAAAGAACUUCUUCUACUAUGAUGCUCAAGAUGGAAAAGUCUUAAUUCAUAUUGAAGUAAAAAAAAAUGGUAAAAAAGAGAGGAUUCACACGAGCGAUUGAAGCAGCAGAUGAGUGAGCUUGAAAGAGAAUGGGCCAGGCAAAAGCUCAUGUUCAUUAAAACCCUUGACAACAACUUAGCAACUUCUCUGUGCAAGAUUCUCCUCAACUUCUCAAGAAGGUUCCAGUCUGAGGCCGAGGGAAAGCCUGUUGAAAUCAAAGAAGCCAAUUGCUUGGUUUUAAAAGGCGACCGCUUCGCUCGCCAUGGCGAGUAGCGGCCUGAGGCGACCUCCAAAACGACUCAGGACCCCAAUGCUAAGCGAGAUGAGUAAUGCUGAAGAAGAUCUAAGAAAAGGAAUCACUCCGGUUCAAAGCUAACAACAUAAGUACCAUUUUCACUCCAGUUCAAAGCUAACAACGGAAGUACAACAGAAGUACUAUUUUAUAAACAAAACAGAGAAACAAAACUCAUAAAGGUGCAAACUGAAAGGAAAGCAUAAGUCAACAAUUAAACUGCAAAACAAAGACUUAAACAGCAAUGAACCUUGCAAUUUCUGAGAAGAUAAGUGGAAGCUCUGAUUCCCACACUUUGGGCGUUUAGCUGUCUCUGGCUUAUCACUGCCACACGUCCUCUUAGUUCCCUCAUCUACAAAAUCUCCACAGCUUUUGGAAGGUUCACACACAUCAUAUCCAACCUGCAAGGUUUCCUCAAACAUUGCAGCAAAGCGGUUUCCAACAGAGGCUUCUAUAGGUGGUGGAGUUUCCAGGGAGAGGAUAUUGGUGACAGUUAUAGCUCGGGUCUUGCCAGUGAAGUUGCGCUCUGAAACAUUCACACAAAACUUAUGUGUUUGUCCAAUGGUGCUAAAUAGAGCUUCCGGGUGUUGGGAAUGUCCUGAAAUCUGUUGUACUUGCUCUGGUUAAAGUCGAAACGACCGUCAUAUAAUAUUAGGUGAUUAUAAUGUUUUGCUAAAAACUGCUUAUAGUCUAUGAAUUGAAAAUUCAUUACUAAUAUUAUAUGAUCCUACAGGUCACACACCUAAGCAA